rnacentral:rRNA from 1 species
GACGAACGCUGGCGGCGUGCCUAACACAUGCAAGUCGAACGAGGUCCAUCCUUCGGGAGAAGACCUAGUGGCGAACGGGUGAGUAACACGUGAAGAACCUGCCCCGAAGACCGGGAUAACCCUCCGAAAGGAGAGCUAAUACCGGAUACCCCCACCGAACCGCAUGGUUUGGUGAGGAAAUGGAUUCCGCUUCGGGAGGGCUUCGCGGCCUAUCAGCUAGUUGGUGGGGUAACGGCCACCAAGGCAUCGACGGGUAGCUGGUCUGAGAGGACGAUCAGCCACACUGGGACUGAGACACGGCCCAGACUCCUACGGGAGGCAGCAGUGGGGAAUCUUGCGCAAUGGGCGAAAGCCUGACGCAGCAACGCCGCGUGGGGGAUGAAGGCUCUCGGGUUGUAAACCCCUUUCAGCAGGGACGAAUCAAGACGGUACCUGCAGAAGAAGCCCCGGCUAACUACGUGCCAGCAGCCGCGGUAA